rnacentral:lncRNA from 1 species
GUUUUUCAAAAGGAGAACCACUGCACCCAGACCCAGUAGCCAGGUUGUGAUUCCGCUUCUAUUCUUCGGACUUCAGUGCUGCGGUUUCCCUUGUGUGAUACUAUUCAGAGAUCUGCUCCCCUCCCCCUAACACGCACAUAACACACACACACACACACACACACACACACACACACUGCCAGGAAUUGUUUUGGGUUCCUGAAGGGGGACAGAGUGAUAUGCUCACAGGUAAAUACAUCUCAAAAUGCUAAUGUGCAUUUGAAUAUCCAUUUGUUUAUCUAUUUUAAAAACAGGGGGAAGUCAAGGUAAACCAGGCAAAAUGUAUAAAUUUGAAAAGAUAUUCAGAUAUCCAUGGAAAAGAAUUGCUCAGAAGAACAAAGGAUAGUAUAACAUUAAAUGAGUCACGGUGUUCUCCCAGAGAGUAAAACUGUAUUCUCGUCAGUUAUUGUUUAAUUCUUCGAACAUUUGACAUAAGGGUCUAUUGAUUACUGGGGCGGGGAGAGCUGGUCCCGGGCUCACGGGUUGUGGGAGCUCCUGUGUGGGCCUAGGUAUAUUUUUGUUACACUUUAUCCCACCUGUGCCUGUCAGUUCCUUUCCACUUGCCUCCUCCCGUGACAGUCUGGCUCAUGUUUCUUCAUAAAGCUCUAAGCCAGUUAUUAAUAACAGCCCAGCGAGUCUCCGGAUCCACCUAAGAGCAUGUGGUGUUUUUCACAAAAGAGAAGAGAGAUCAUCUCCUUGACUUGGGACUUUGCUUGCGGAGCCCUGAACAGAGGACCUGCUCCGUCCUUGGGAGCUCAGCUGAAACCAGACGAUCCAGUCGUUCUCCAGGACCAGCGUAGCUUCCUGCUAAGGGGACCGAGGUUGCUAAGAGUCCACCUGUGCUGA